rnacentral:lncRNA from 1 species
CCACAACAGACCAAUUAACCAAACUAUUCCAAAUUCAGUGAGUACACCCUUUUUAAAUAAAAGUAGAUGAUUUCUAUAUUUGGAUGUAAAAGGACCAUUUCACAAUAAGACUUCAAAUCUGAUGGAAAUUAAGCAACCUAUUAGAACCUGUAACAUUUGCAAUGUACCUUUGAAAAAAAUUGUACAAUGUCGUGAAAAAAUUGAAUAGCAGGAAAAAACUCGGAAACAUCGCGCAAAUGGUGUGUACAGAUUGACCAG